GAGAGAAACAUACUAAUUAUACUGCAUCGCAUAAAAUGACAAAAAUAUGAAACUUGUAACGCAUUGCCCACCUUUUCCUUAAUAAAAAUGCGAAAUACGUCUUUGAUGUUAGUUGACGACUCCUUUCACUGGCUGCCACACUGAUGUAUAUAUCAUGCAUUCUUUGUUUUGUAUUAACUCUUUUGUACAAUUAUACACGCCCUGACCGGACGUAAAUUCCAGAGAUUAGAAUAAAAAUAGUGAAAAGGUCAAGGGCUAGAAAAUUGACAAUAUGAUUGCCCACAAGUAAAAGUCACCACCGAGAGGGAUCGAAAGUACCUACUUCAGAAAUGCGAUACAAGUUUUUUGUCUCGUGAUUUUGAAAUCUCUUUCUCACAAAUAAUCAUGUUUGAGCAUGCAUGCAUAUCAAAUAUCCCUACAUUUCAUACAAGCACGAUUCAUAAUUCAUAGUUUACAUUUUAUAAAACAAACAAACAGUCUAUUGUAAAUUCACUUUAACAGAAAACAAUGAUAUGAAAUGCGGUCAAUGAUCGGAACCGACACGUUUUAAAACAUUCUUGCAUUCCAAACACUAGCAAAUGGAUCAGAUAUUAACUAAGAUUUAAAAGAAUACCAUAGGUAUUCUUAGGUUUGAUGAAAUAUAUAAUGAUUAACAGCUAUUUUAUGUCUCGACUUGUUGCCUCGAUUGAGCAAACUUUUCUAAACCAUACGUCAUUUCAAACAAUUAUUAAAUAUGAAAACGCUUCACUGUAGCAUACCAAAUGAUUUAUGUACCAUGGAAACAAAUACACGUACAAUGUCCAAUACCUCGUACACAACGCCAUUUCCAGUCAAAUUUACGUAUUAGUACUACAAAGUACAAUUAUGUUCACAUAAUUUGUCUUUUAAGUAACUUUGCUGCUAAUGAAGAAGAUCCAGGAAAUGUCAAGAAUCUAAUAUCAAAGCACUUUGGCUGGUUUCCACUCGUACACAGGAAGUGUCAAAUAGUAUUAAAGAGAAUGGUUAAAUUUUCGUUCAUGUACACGUGCUGUGACACGCAUCCACCUACGCAAAAAAAUAAUUGGUUUCAAAAGCCACCCUGUAUACUAUGGAUACCACUGUUGAUGUAGGGCUGUAGCUUGUCAAGUCUUACAAAACUAUUAUUUCUGUGAUUUUGAAUUUCCCAUUUCAGCAUUUCAAAUGCCGAGUAUAGAUAAGAUUAACAUAAAAUUGUUUAUACUGGCGGACGAAACAAUAGAGUGUAAUUGUUUAGUUAUUGUGUUGGCAUUCCGUCAAUAAAAAUAUAAUAUAUGCCGCCGUAUGUAUAAUUAUUUAACCUUUUCACUUCUUAAAAUCAACUCCUGAUAAAGUAUAGAUGUAUAUUUUUAAAAUGAAAUUUGUAGAGAAGCUAUAAGAGAACGUUAAUGAAUGUCAUUUCAAAA